AUUGAACGCUGGCGGCAGGCUUAACACAUGCAAGUCGAACGAGCGGCGGACGGGUGAGUAAUGUCUGGGAAACUGCCUGAUGGAGGGGGAUAACUACUGGAAACGGUAGCUAAUACCGCGUACCAUCAGAUGAGCCCAAGUGGGAUUAGCUAGUUGGUGGGGUAAUGGCUCACCUAGGCGACGAUCCCUAGCUGGUCUGAGAGGAUGACCAGCCACACUGGAACUGAGACACGGUCCAGACUCCUACGGGAGGCAGCAGUGGGGAAUAUUGCGCAAUGGGGGCAAGCCUGACGCAGCCAUGCCGCGUGAGUGAAGAAGGCCUUCGGGUUGUAAAGUUCUUUCAGCGGGGAGGCGUUAACUGCAGAAGAAGCACCGGCUAACUCCGUGCCAGCAGCCGCGGUAAUAC
rnacentral:rRNA from 1 species